ACAGGUAUGAUGAAAUUGGAAGACAUAUUAAAUUUAGAAUUUAAUGAAAAAUUCGUGAGGGUUCGAAUCCCUCUACCUGUA
rnacentral:tRNA from 1 species